rnacentral:rRNA from 1 species
UACGUAGGUGGCAAGCGUUGUCCGGAUUUACUGGGCGUAAAGGGAGCGUAGGUGGAUUUUUAAGUGAGAUGUGAAAUACUCGGGCUCAACCCGAGAACUGCAUUUCAAACUGGAAAUCUAGAGUGCAGGAGAGGAAAGUGGAAUUCCUAGUGUAGCGGUGAAAUGCGUAGAUAUUAGGAAGAACACCAGUGGCGAAGGCGACUUUCUGGACUGUAACUGACACUGAGGCUCGAAAGCGUGGGGAGCAAACAGG